rnacentral:rRNA from 1 species
UACGGAGGGUGCAAGCGUUAUCCGGAUUCACUGGGUUUAAAGGGUGCGUAGGUGGGUCUGUAAGUCAGUGGUGAAAUCUUCGAGCUUAACUCGGAAACUGCCAUUGAUACUAUAGAUCUUGAAUUUUCUGGAGGUAAGCGGAAUAUGUCAUGUAGCGGUGAAAUGCUUAGAUAUGACAUAGAACACCAAUUGCGAAGGCAGCUUACUACACAGUUAUUGACACUGAGGCACGAAAGCGUGGGGAUCAAACAGG